GUGGAUGACGUCAGGGGGCCGGUGACGGUGACGGUGGAAGAUGGCGGCCGUGGGCGGACUGUGGCUGCGAGGGGCCGUCGGGAGCAGCCGCUCCAGGCUGGCGAGGGCGGCACUGACAGCACCAGCGGCGGCCGCAGCAGCGGCAGUGGGGUCGCGGCGCUCGGUAGCGCACUUCACCUUCGUGCCGGACCAAGAGCCCACGCAGUAUGGUCCUACGCAGAAGAUGAACCUUUUUCAAUCUAUCACAAGUGGCUUGGACAAUGUUUUGGCAAAUGAUCCAACUGCAGUGAUUUUUGGAGAGGAUGUUGCCUUUGGAGGGGUUUUCCGGUGUACUGUUGGACUGCGGGACAAAUAUGGAAAGGAACGAGUAUUUAAUACCCCUCUCUGUGAGCAAGGUAUCGUGGGAUUUGGAAUUGGGAUAGCAGUUACAGGAGCUAAAGCGAUUGCAGAAAUACAGUUUGCAGACUACAUCUUUCCAGCCUUUGAUCAGAUUAUUAAUGAAGCCGCAAAGUAUCGCUAUCGCUCUGGGAACUUAUUUGACUGUGGAAGUUUAACGAUUCGUGCACCUUGGGGAUGCGUGGGCCAUGGGGCACUCUAUCACUCCCAGAGUCCUGAGGCCUUCUUUUCCCAUAUCCCUGGAGUUAAGGUGGUUAUUCCAAGAAGCCCCAUCCAGGCCAAGGGAUUAUUGCUAUCUUGCAUAGAGGAUAAAAAUCCUUGUAUCUUCUUUGAGCCUAAAAUUCUCUACAGAGCUGCUGUGGAACAAGUUCCUGUGGAGGCCUAUCAAAUCCCUCUUUCAGAAGCAGAAGUUCUGCAGGAGGGAAAUGACGUGACCCUUGUUGCUUGGGGAACUCAGGUUCAUGUAAUGAAAGAAGUGGCCAGCAUGGCUCAGGAGAAAUUGGGAGUCUCGUGUGAAGUAAUCGAUUUAAAAACUAUUCUGCCUUGGGAUGCUGAAACCAUUUGCAAGUCUGUGGUAAAAACGGGAAGGUUGCUUAUUAGCCACGAAGCUCCGAUAACAGGAGGAUUUGCAGCGGAGAUCAGUUCCACAGUUCAGGAAGAGUGCUUUCUCAACCUGGAGGCGCCAAUCAGCAGAGUCUGUGGAUAUGAUACACCUUUUCCGCAUAUCUUUGAACCUUUUUACAUACCAGACAAAUGGAAGUGUUUUGAUGCCGUGCGGAAAAUGAUAAAUUAUUAAAAAGCGGCAGAUGGCAUCAGCAUGAAAUGGGAAUGAGAUGAUCAUUGAGCACCUGACACACACUAAAUUAAAGAUUUAUAUUGAGAUGCCUGUAAAUCAUGUGAAUGAUUUUCCAUUAUAGAGGCUAAAGGGUGAAAUUAUGCUGUGUGUCAUCAUCAUCUUUUUCACCACAGAUUCAGGGUGAUGCUGAGAGGUGUUUGAAUGAAAAGGAGUUUGAUUAAUUUCAGUAUAGUUCUUUGACAGCAAAUCAGUUUGCUGAGCCAAUAUUGUACAAGCUACAUUGCUGAGGGGGCUCAAGUGAUCCAAUGUGGACCAUGCUUGGAUUGUUUUCUCCAGAGCGUCGGAGGCUGAGGGAGGCCUGAUGGAAGUAUAUAAAAUUAUGAGAGGCAUGAAUAGAGUAGACUUUAGUCCAUUAUUCCUAAGAUAGAAAUGUCAAGGACUGAAUGGCAUGGGUUUAAGGUGUGAAGGGCAAAUUUUAAAGAAAUGUGGGGCUUUUUACACAGAGAGUGGUGGGUGACUGGAAGGCAUUGCCAGGGGUGGUGGCAGAGAUAGAUUUAAGUGGCAUUUAAGAGGCUUUUAGAUUGGCUAAUGAAUAUGCAGGGAAUGGAGGUAUAUGGAUCAUAUGCAGGCAGAGGAAAUGAGUUUAACGGCAUCAUGUUUGGCACAGCAUGAUGGGCCAAAGGGCCUGUUCUUGUGCUGUACUGUUUAUGUUUUCUAUACUCUGAAUUCAUCCAGUAUCUGGCUUGGGUGCUUAACAUUCAAAAUGAAAAGAUUUAUGGCUAUCUGCCACUUUAGUAGAUUAAAAUAAAUGCAAUAUCCUGAUU